rnacentral:rRNA from 1 species
GAUGAACGCUGGCGGCGUGCCUAAUACAUGCAAGUCGAGCGAACGGACGAGAAGCUUGCUUCUCUGAUGUUAGCGGCGGACGGGUGAGUAACACGUGGAUAAGCUACCUAUAAGACUGGGAUAACUUCGGGAAACCGGAGCUAAUACCGGAUAAUAUUUUGAACCGCAUGGUUCAAAAGUGAAAGACGGUCUUGCUGUCACUUAUAGAUGGAUCCGCGCUGCAUUAGCUAGUUGGUAAGGUAACGGCUUACCAAGGCAACGAUGCAUAGCCGACCUGAGAGGGUGAUCGGCCACACUGGAACUGAGACACGGUCCAGACUCCGACGGGAGGCAGCAGUAGGGAAUCUUCCGCAAUGGGCGAAAGCCUGACGGAGCAACGCCGCGUGAGUGAUGAAGGUCUUCGGAUCGUAAAACUCUGUUAUUAGGGAAGAACAUAUGUGUAAGUAACUGUGCACAUCUUGACGGUACCUAAUCAGAAAGCCACGGCUAACUACGUG